UCGGUGCACAUUUCGUUAUCAUUUUUAUUAUUAUUAUUAUUAUUAUUAUUUUAAAAUUUAUUUUAAUUAAAUUUGAUUUUAUAAUGUUGAUGGGGAAUUGACGCGAGGAACUAUUGACGGCCGCAAAGAGAAGCUGGACUGCCCACCGGCCACCGUCGGCGACGUGGGGAAGUAGAAGUCAGUCCGGAGGUUCGCGUGGGACCGGGGCACCGGCAAUUGCGGAUCGCCCGAACCGUGGAUUCCAAUUAUGAGGCGUCACCUUCACUGCCGUUAGUCCGGGUCGGACCGCGCUACGGGCGUCGUCGGAUCUGAAUCGGACGGCAGGAGGGGUGGCAGGGAUAUGUUUGUGGGAACGGGGAGGGGUUCGCGUGGACGUGAUCGAAAUUGAGAUCUCUAUCCGAAUUGUGACGUCACGGCGAGCGGGAGCAUUUAAUGAGCUCUCCGAUUAUGAACACUGAGUGUCGGAGAAUAUGGGGCGGUUGCUUGAUGUCUGCGAUUCAUAAUUCUUGCUACAAGAAGCUGACGGCGAUCGAGGAAGAAAAGGAAGAGAAUGAGAGUGCGA